rnacentral:rRNA from 1 species
AUUGAACGCUGGCGGCAUGCCUUACACAUGCAAGUCGAACGGUAACAGGUCUUCGGAUGCUGACGAGUGGCGAACGGGUGAGUAAUACAUCGGAACGUGCCCGAGAGAGGGGGAUAACGAAGCAAAAGCUUUGCUAAUACCGCAUACGAUCUCAGGAUGAAAGCAGGGGACCGCAAGGCCUUGCGCUCACGGAGCGGCCGAUGGCAGAUUAGGUAGUUGGUGGGAUAAAAGCUUACCAAGCCGACGAUCUGUAGCUGGUCUGAGAGGACGACCAGCCACACUGGGACUGAGACACGGCCCAGACUCCUACGGGAGGCAGCAGUGGGGAAUUUUGGACAAUGGGCGCAAGCCUGACCCAGCCAUGCCGCGUGCAGGAUGAAGGCCUUCGGGUUGUAAACUGCUUUUGUACGGAACGAAAAGACUCUGGUUAAUACCUGGGGUCCAUGACGGUACCGUAAGAAUAAGCACCGGCUAACUACGUGCCAGCCGCCGCAGUAA